AUACGUAGGUGACAAGCGUUAUCCGGAUUUACUGGGCGUAAAGGGCGUGUAGGCGGUCUUGCAAGUCAGAAGUGAAAUUCCUGAGCUCAACUCGGGCGCUGCUUCUGAAACUGCAGGACUUGAGUGCUGGAGGGGAUAGCGGAAUUCCUAGUGGAGCGGUAAAAUGCGCAGAUAUUAGGAAGAACACCGGUGGCGAAGGCGGCUAUCUGGACAGUAACUGACGCUGAGGCGCGAAAGUGUGGGGAGCAAACAGGAUUAGAUACCCUGGUAGUCCACACUGUAAACGAUGAAUGCUAGGUGUAGGGGGUAUCGACCCCUUCUGUGCCGCAGUCAACACAAUAAGCAUUCCGCCUGGGGAGUACGGCCGCAAGGUUGAAACUCAAAUGAAUUGACGGGG
rnacentral:rRNA from 1 species